AGGGAUAAUUUCCCUUGGAUGUGGCUUUAAGCUGAACAAGAGG
rnacentral:ncRNA from 1 species